CGUACAUCCUACGGGAGGCAGCAGUGGGGAAUAUUGCACAAUGGGCGCAAGCCUGAUGCAGCCAUGCCGCGUGUAUGAAGAAGGCCUUCGGGUUGUAAAGUACUUUCAGCGGGGAGGAAGGCGAUAAGGUUAAUAACCUUGUUGAUUGACGUUACCCGCAGAAGAAGCACCGGCUAACUCCGUGCCAGCAGCCGCGGUAAUACGGAGGGUGCAAGCGUUAAUCGGAAUUACUGGGCGUAAAGCGCACGCAGGCGGUCUGUCAAGUCGGAUGUGAAAUCCCCGGGCUCAACCUGGGAACUGCAUUCGAAACUGGCAGGCUAGAGUCUUGUAGAGGGGGGUAGAAUUCCAGGUGUAGCGGUGAAAUGCGUAGAGAUCUGGAGGAAUACCGGUGGCGAAGGCGGCCCCCUGGACAAAGACUGACGCUCAGGUGCGAAAGCGUGGGGAGCAAACAGGAUUAGAAACCCUAGUAGUCCC
rnacentral:rRNA from 1 species